rnacentral:rRNA from 1 species
UAUUAAAGUUGUUGCAGUUAAAAAGCUCGUAGUUGGAUUUUGGACAUCGUCGGUCGGUCCGCCUUAACGGUGAGUACUGACUGGUGAAGUCUUCCGGCUGAAGGCUAUCUGUGCUCUUCAUUGGGUGUAGGUAGAAUUCAGCCCAUUUACUUUGAAAAAAUUAGAGUGUUCAAAGCAGGCCUUUGGCUUGAAUACAUUAGCAUGGAAUAACAGAAUAGGACUUUGGUUCUAUUUUGUUGGUUUCUAGGACCGAAGUAAUGAUUAAUAGGGAUAGUUGGGGGCAUUAAUAUUUAAUUGUCAGAGGUGAAAUUCUUUGAUUUAUGAAAGAUUAACUUCUGCGAAAGCAUUUGCCGAGGAUGUUUUCAUUAAUCAAGAACGAAAGUUAGGGGAUCGAAGAUGAUCGGAUACCGUCGUAGUCCUAACCAUAAACUAUGCCGACUAGGGAUCAGUGGAUGUUUUUUUCGACUCCAUUGGCACCUUGUGAGAAAUCAAAGUUUUUGGGUUCCGGGGGGAGUAUGGUCGCAAGGCUGAAACUUAAAGGAAUUGACGG